CCCCCAGACUCCUACGGGAGGCAGCAGUGGGGAAUAUUGCACAAUGGGGGAAACCCUGAUGCAGCAACGCCGCGUGGGUGAAGGAGCGUUUCGGCGCGUAAAGCCCUAUCGGCAGGGAAGAAACAGACGGUACCUGACUAAGAAGCCCCGGCUAACUACGUGCCAGCAGCCGCGGUAAUACGUAGGGGGCAAGCGUUAUCCGGAUUCACUGGGUGUAAAGGGAGCGUAGACGGCGACGCAAGUCUGGAGUGAAAGCCCGGGACCCAACCCCGGGACUGCUCUGGAAACUGCGUCGCUGGAGUACGGGAGGGGCAGGCGGAAUUCCUGGUGUAGCGGUGAAAUGCGUAGAUAUCAGGAGGAACACCGGCGGCGAAGGCGGCCUGCUGGACCGUGACUGACGUUGAGGCUCGAGAGCGUGGGGAGCAAACAGGAUUAGAUACCCCAGUAAU
rnacentral:rRNA from 1 species